GUGAGAUAUGACCUUCCUGGUACAGUCCGCUGGAAAAAGAGAAGAAAGCCUCGGAUGGGCAUGAGUGCAACUUUCUAAAUACAGUGUGCAGUGAUCAGUUCCCAAGGAUGGUUCUUACAAGGAGAAAAUCCAGAAACUAUCAAUUGGCUACCUUGAUGUGAUCCUCUUCAUGAGGAAGCUUGGACUUCUCCCUGCUUCACAGAUGGGUUACGAGAUAGUCCAGAGAAGCUGCAUUCUAAGAAGCAUUAUGACCUGUCUUCUUAGAAACAACACGGCAUCACUUUUACCACAUUCUUUUGGUCACAAGGAGAGGGAAUUACACAUCACCUGAUUUUGGAUGCAUGUGUGAGGUAUGCUACUGUACUCACAAGACAUCUGAAACUAUACCCAGAUCAUCUAGAAGUGAACAUGUUCCAGGUGAUGUCCCUAUGUAAACCAAGGGUUGGUUUUCAGUGUUCUGGAGGCUGGGAUGUCCAAGGUCAAGAUGCUGACAGAUUGAUUGUCCCUGGAAAGCCUGCUUCAUAGAUGACCAUCUUCUCCGUGUGUUCUCCCUGUGUUCUCAGGAGUGGGGUUACCUUUCUGGUGCCUCUUUUUCAUAAGGACACUAUUCCCGUUCCUGAGGGCUCCAUUCUCAUAACACAACAUCCAGAAGGUCCUACAUUCUAAUAUCAUCAUACUGCAGGUUAGAAUUUCAGCAUGUUAAUUUUGGUAUGACACAUUCAGUCUAUAGUAGCAACCCUCCCUUGAAACUCAAUGCUCUGUGAUGAGGUUCAGCGAAACCUAAAAGUAUAUCAUAUAAAGCUGAAAAGAAAAUAAAUUGGGACAACUGUUUUUGGAGGGGAAGCAAUUUAGCAUAAUGUGCUAAUAUGUAAGUAUUUAAAAACAUUUUCAUUUUUAGAAAAUAUUGCUAAAGGAAUUACGAAAUAUGUACACAAAAACUUAGCUACAUGGGUGUUAAGCACAAUAUUGUUUGCAAUAGGGAAAGGUUUAAAAAUGGAAAUAUCUAUGAAUAUCAGAUUAUUAAAUAAAUUAUGUUUUUCCCAUAUGAGGAUAUACUACAUAGGUAUUUAAAAAUGAAGCUGUGGAAUAGUCAUUUUAUUUGAUUAAGUUUUAGUUGUAUUUUAUUUAUAAUUCACACAUAAUAAUUAUACAUAUUUAAGGAAUACAGUGUGAUGUUUCCAUGCAUGUAUACAUUAUAUAACAAUUAAAUCAGGGUAAUUAGCAUACUUUAAACAUUUAUCAUGUUGUUGUGAUAACAUUCAAAAUUCUACCAGCUAUUUUGAAAUAUACAAUAUAUUGUUAUUAGCUAUAGUUACCCUGCAAUGGAAUAAAGUAUGAAUAGUCAUUUUAAAACUAUGCUCUGAAGAGGAUGCAGGUAUCUCAGGAACAUUUCAGUGAGUUUUUUAGGAGGUGAGUCGAAGCCAGGAUCCUCUGAGCUUUGCCCCAUUACCUUCACUUAACCAGAUCUGCUCUAUUUUAUCUCUUUGAUAUGCUGAGUUUCUGAGUAAAAUGCCUUUUGAAAAAAAAAUUGUUAUGUGUUGAUUUCUGUCCCCACAAAAGUUGUUGAGGUCCUAACACCCAGGGCCUGUGAAUGUGACAUGAUUUGGAAAUAGAGGCUUGCAGGUGAUCAAGUUAAUCAUUAUAGUGGGCUCUAAUCCAAUACAACUAUGUUUUUUAAAAAAUGAGAAUUUUGGAAACAGAAGCAAACACACAGGUAGACGACCAUGUGAAGAUAGAGGCAGAGUUCAGGGUAAUGCAUCAUAAGUCACAGAAAACCAAAGAUUGCCAGCAAACCAGCAGAAUCUGGGAGAAAAUAGUAUAAAGCAGACUUUUCUCAUAGCCUCAAGAAAGAACCAACUUUACCAACACCUUGGUUUUAGACUUCCAGCCUCCAGAGCUGUGAAAGAACACAUUUCUGUUGUGUAAGCCACCUUCGUUAAGGUUGUGGUACUUUGUUGCAGUAGCAGUUAGAAAGUAGUGCAUUUCUGGGCUGAAAGAAAGUUUGAUGCUCCUUUGUUACAAAGAGAUAUACAUAGUAAAUAUAUACACAAAUUAUUUGUGAACUCUUAAGUCAAUGAAUUUUUCCUCUUAAUAUUUUCUUUCUCUUGGUUUUCUCACUGUUAGUCCACCUAUUGAAUAAAUUGUGUUCAUUGUUUCAGGAGGAGCUAUGGUAAUGGUAAAAUAAUAGGGUUGUUCUUGAGCUCUGAGUUUGAAAUCAGUAUUUUCUAGUCCAUAGCUGAGGUCAGAAUGUAAACCUUCCACAAAUCAUUUAUCAUCCCACUCCAUCAAAACUCGGUGAAUACGAACAGACUCAUAUGGAUUAGGGGAAAUUCCAGAACAAGAAGUUCCCCUUUACCCUAAGUGCAGAUUAGAAGGACUCAAUUGUCUCUAGAAGCUUGUUGGGCAGGGAGCAUAAGGUUCAACCUGGGGUUAUAGGUGAGUAGUCAAGCCACAUCAUCAGAUCAUAAGACAUGAGAAUCCUGGCUGCUCUAGGUUAAUUGCUUUAUUUUUUUUUUCAGACAGAGUUUUGCUCUUGUUGCCUAGGCUGGAGUGCAAUGGCACCAUCUUGGCUCAUGGCAACCUCUGCCUCCAAGGUUCAAGCGAUUCUCCUGCCUCAGCCUCCCGAGUAGCUAGGAUUACAGGUGUGCAUCACCACACCUGGCGAAUUUUGUAUUGUUAGUAGAGAUGGGGUUUUGCCAUGUUGGUCAGGCUGGUCUCGAACUAUGGACCUCAGGUUAUCUGCCCGCCUCAGCCUCCCAAAGUGCUGGGAUUACAGGCAUCACCCACCACGCCCAGCCAGCUUUAUCUCUUGAAGCCUGUAAAGCUCUGUCUUCUGUGGCAUUUAAGUUGUUUGUGAGCAUUGUUGGGUAUGGUAGCAUGUAUUACUCACCAACAAAUAUUCCCUCCCCCUUACCCUCAGCUGUGAGAAGCAUGGAUUUCCUGCCUCAUCUAUUGUGAUUUUUGCCAUUGAAAGUAAUGGCAAAAUUAUUUUAAUAGCCAUUACUUUCGAUGGCAAAAACCAUGAUUACUUUUGAACCAGCCUAAUACAUUGGGCUCGACCAUGUGAUUUGCCACAGGCAAUUAAAUAUGCUGAGACAUGAGGGCACAUUUGAGCAAAAACUUUAAAUAUAUGUAAACUCUUGUUCUUCUGCCCUCUGCCAUGAGAAGAAUAUGUCUCAAGUAACCAUUCCUCUUUCAGCUUGGGUCCUCAUAUGAGAGAUGUAUGGAGAAAAUACCUAAAUCUAUCUUAUAACCUGGAGCAGAGCCACCACAGCUUCAGAUAUGUAACAAUUAUGGUGUUUACUCUCUUGAAUAAUUUUAUUUUGCUUAUUCAGAAACCUCAGCAAAUAAAAAUCUUUUUGGAAAACUUCUCUUGACAAUUGUGUGAAAUUUUACAGCUAUGCACAUGGCAACCCUCUGAUCAUCCUGUGUUUCAAGGAUAAUUUUUUGAUUUCACUAUGCAAGCCACAGUUUCUCUGCCUAUAAGGAAUUUAGCAAACUAUGAUCAUAAAUCCAGGGGCCCUUUUUU
rnacentral:lncRNA from 1 species